UCCGAUAUGGUGUAGUGGCUAACAUUAUCGCCUCUCAUGUUGCCUCAGAAGCAGAUGAUAAGUAUUGCGCGAUAGCCCGGGGUUCAAUUCCCCGUAUUGGAA